rnacentral:rRNA from 1 species
CAGUCGCCGCGGUAAUACGAAGGGUGCAAGCGUUAAUCGGAAUUACUGGGCGUAAAGCGUGCGUAGGCGGUUUGUUAAGUCUGUUGUGAAACCCCCGGGCUCAACCUGGGAAUGGCAAUGGAUACUGGCAAGCUAGAGUGUGUCAGAGGAUGGUGGAAUUCCCGGUGUAGCGGUGAAAUGCGUAGAGAUCGGGAGGAACAUCAGUGGCGAAGGCGGCCAUCUGGGACAACACUGACGCUGAGGCACGAAAGCGUGGGGAGCAAACAGGAUUAGAUACCCCCGUAGUCCCUGUCUCUUAUAC